rnacentral:rRNA from 1 species
GAGCUAAUACCGGAUAGUUCCUUGAACCGCAUGGUUCAAGGAUGAAAGACGGUUUCGGCUGUCACUUACAGAUGGACCCGCGGCGCAUUAGCUAGUUGGUGGGGUAAUGGCUCACCAAGGCGACGAUGCGUAGCCGACCUGAGAGGGUGAUCGGCCACACUGGGACUGAGACACGGCCCAGACUCCUACGGGAGGCAGCAGUAGGGAAUCUUCCGCAAUGGACRAAAGUCUGACGGAGCAACGCCGCGUGAGUGAUGAAGGUUUUCGGAUCGUAAAGCUCUGUUGUUAGGGAAGAACAAGUGCGAGAGUAACUGCUCGCACCUUGACGGUACCUAACCAGAAAGCCACGGCUAACUACGUGCCAGCAGCCGCGGUAAUACGUAGGUGGCAAGCGUUGUCCGGAAUUAUUGGGCGUAAAGGGCUCGCAGGCGGUUUCUUAAGUCUGAUGUGAAAGCCCCCGGCUCAACCGGGGAGGGUCAUUGGAAACUGGGAAACUUGAGUGCAGAAGAGGAGAGUGGAAUUCCACGUGUAGCGGUGAAAUGCGUAGAGAUGUGGAGGAACACCAGUGGCGAAGGCGACUCUCUGGUCUGUAACUGACGCUGAGGAGCGAAAGCGUGGGGAGCGAACAGGAUUAGAUACCCUGGUAGUCCACGCCGUAAACGAUGAGUGCUAAGUGUUAGGGGGUUUCCGCCCCUUAGUGCUGCAGCUAACGCAUUAAGCACUCCGCCUGGGGAGUACGGUCGCAAGACUGAAACUCAAAGGAAUUGACGGGGGCCCGCACAAGCGGUGGAGCAUGUGGUUUAAUUCGAARCAACGCGAAGAACCUUACCAGGUCUUGACAUCCUCUGACAACCCUAGAGAUAGGGCUUUCCCUUCGGGGACAGAGUGACAGGUGGUGCAUGGUUGUCGUCAGCUCGUGUCGUGAGAUGUUGGGUUAAGUCCCGCAACGAGCGCAACCCUUGAUCUUAGUUGCCAGCAUUUAGUUGGGCACUCUAAGGUGACUGCCGGUGACAAACCGGAGGAAGGUGGGGAUGACGUCAAAUCAUCAUGCCCCUUAUGACCUGGGCUACACACGUGCUACAAUGGACAGAACAAAGGGCUGCGAGACCGCAAGGUUUAGCCAAUCCCAUAAAUCUGUUCUCAGUUCGGAUCGCAGUCUGCAACUCGACUGCGUGAAGCUGGAAUCGCUAGUAAUCGCGGAUCAGCAUGCCG